rnacentral:rRNA from 1 species
GGAUUAGAUACCCUGGUAGUCCACGCCGUAAACGAUGGUCACUAGCUGUUUGGUUUUCGGACUGAGUGGCUAAGCGAAAGUGAUAAGUGACCCACCUGGGGAGUACGUUCGCAAGAAUGAAACUCAAAGGAAUUGACGGGGGCCCGCACAAGCGGUGGAGCAUGUGGUUUAAUUCGAUGAUACGCGAGGAACCUUACCAGGGCUUAAAUGUGGUUGGACAGUUUCAGAGAUGAGACCUCCUUCGGGCUAAUCACAAGGUGCUGCAUGGUUGUCGUCAGCUCGUGUUG